rnacentral:misc_RNA from 1 species
GUUUAGACAAUAAUUAAUGGUGUAAAAUUAGUAAUGAUCCCAACCACUUAGUAAAACAAGGAGUGAUUUGAGGAAGUAGAUAUGCAAACACCCCCUUACAGAAAGCCAUUAAUUUAGACAAGCUCAUCUUAUCAGUAUAAAGUUGAAGCAUAUAAAAUAUUUACGGUGAUAUAAAAUACAGAGAAAAAUGCCUGAAAAAUGAGUGGAUAUGACAACUAUUAGAUGUGACUUUUAGCCGUAGAGAUAUUUUCUCUCUCCUUCAUGCACAGUGAGAAAACAAAUAUCGAAGCUACAAAAAAAUGUCAACAAUAACACUAU